AAGGUUGGCUUCCCAGCUCCAGCGCUCCUUCUGGACCCACCUCAGAUGGUCUGUAGUUAAUUUAAUGACUGGCAUGAACUUCAGCUCUGAAGAGUGGAUGUUCCACCACCUUAACACAGUUGUUGCUGAGUAAUGACUGGAUGCACCUCCUGCUCCUGCAUCAGGGCUGCUGACAGGAGCAAGCGGGAGGAAGAUCAAGCUCCGGCGAGGACAGACUUCAGGAGCUGGUCCAUUCUUCUUUCACACAGAUGGGAGUGUCACAGCGUGCUUUCCUGCCUAAUGAGUCUCAACACAGCCUUGCACAACUCAGCCUCCUUUAAGCUUUUAACCAGGGUGUAGGAGUUCAGAAAAAAAAUCACCUCCCUUCCCCCAAGAAAAAUAUAAUUGCAAAGAUUUGUUUUGAUGUAGCACAAACAGUAAACUCGAAUCACUGAAA